rnacentral:ncRNA from 1 species
GAAACGCGAACCAAGCAGCCCCAUCCCAAGGGCAUGAGACUUGGAGCGAACACCCGCAAGAGUGUUCUACA